AAGAAUGAAUGAAUGAAUGUGAUGCCUUCAAGUCGAUUUACAAUAGUAUCCUGAGCAAUCCCAGUAAUAACUGUAGAGGUCAUAAAAAUGAGAGAAAUAGUAAGAGCUAGGGGAAAAUUAUCUACAAAUCUUUAGCUAAAAGACAACUAUUUUCUUAUUCCUUUUGUUAAAUAAUAUACUUUGGCAUUUGUUGCUCAUAAUUAAACAGCAAAUGCUGUGUUUUACAUGGAGAUAUACUGAUAUCUUGUGAAGAGAACAGAUUAAUGUAAUGUUUUGCUACCUUUGACCUUGUAUCCUUGAGUCUCUUGAUUCUAUGUCACCAAACAUAGCUCUGUAAUAGAGUUGAGGUCCAGCUAAUAGUGUGUGCUAUUCUGACUGUCAUGCUCCAUCAUUGUAACUUACUGCAUGAGGUCCCCAAAGUGGUCUCGUGAGCACAUGUGCACAAGCACGCACAUGAGCGCGCACGCCCACACAUACACACAAUUCUCAUUGGCAGAAUCAAGUUGUAAUCAGAGAAUGCUUUUAAAUACAAAUUCUUCAUUCAACUCAUUAAAAAGUAAAUCAGCUUGUUCCAAGGCUGAGUUCUAAAAUGUUAUGUUCAAAACGUAUUUAAAUCCACCUCCUUUAUAAAGUUUAUCAGAAAGAGAUAGUCACAAAGCAUCCACGUCUUUUCAGUUUUUGCAUUAUGCCAUUAUGGCAAAGUGCUAUCAAUUUACAUUUCAAUAUUCUUUUCAGCCUAGAAAUAUCAGGAUUUGUAAAGACAGUAAGUACUCUAUGACGUUUAUGUUUCUUGAAAUUGUCCUCCUUAGACGACUGAUUUUUUCAAAAGAAAACUUAGAAAUAAAUUAAAUUAUUUAUAAGCUAAAUAUAUUAAAUAAGCUACCUCCUCCCUACCUACUUCCAUGUUCCCAUAUAGGAAUAAAUGUAUGAGGAAGAGAUUUUCCUUCUAACUAAUAAGGAAAUGAUAUGAAUUUCAAGCAACUAAGCAUUACCCCAAAGCUAUUACCCAACUCUUCAAACUUUCAGAAGGGAUUAAAAUUCCUUAGGAAUGCUGCCAUCUUCCAGUGAGUCUUAAAAACGUAAAUGAGGGGAAAAGCUGUAACUGUUUCUAAGAGAAAGGAAUACCCAAGAAGUUGUUUGCUCUUAAGCAGCCUAUCCCAAACCCAUUAUGGGAUUUUAAAUUCCCAUCCUCUGCCUCUUCUCCCAUCUCUCACCCUCUUCCCUCUCCUCCUUCCCUCCCCCUCCCUUUUCUUUCCCCUUUCCUUUCACCUCUCCAUGCUCCAGCCUCAUUUUAGGUGCUGAAUUCAUUAGACUUUAAUGAGCAAUUUCCACUAUCUGGAAGAGUGUCUUUGAAUAUAAUUUUUGGACAAGAUCAUUUCAAUUCCAAAUAUUAUCCCAGAUAAUUGAUCCAAUAGGUCAAACAUUAUUUUUAAGAAAAAAAAAAUCAUAAGAUAAGCAUUGGUUAUAACAAUCUAUUUGAAAGUAUCACAAAUAUUUCACUUUGGAAGGAAAAAUAAGAACAGUUGCCAUUUUUGUCACUUCACACACGCACAUUAUAUAGUUAGGUGCACAAGCGAAUUUGAAAGAAAAGUUGUCAUGUAUCACUAUAUUAAUUUGUUAACACCAACCAUGAAUUAGAAAUUAAAACAGCCAUAAUAGCCAUUUGGGGAAAUGUUUCUGUCUAAAUCUUAUGUAGAAUAGAAAGAGUAAUUUUUAGCCAAUGACAUUUUUAUUUAAAUUACAUUUUAUAAAAAUUUUAAACAUACAUUUUAUUUUACAUUUUUGCACCUGACAUUUUACUAAUUUAGAUUUCAAAUUGGAAGUAUGAUGGUUAUUUGCAUAAACUGAAAGUUUGGUAUAAAAAAUAUCUUUAAAAGUUUGGAAAUAAAAAUGUAGUAUUACUGGGUUAUCAUAGUAAAAAUGGGUUAAAUGUUCUUCCUAAAAUGACCUACCUAGAUACAUGUGAGGCCAUCUGACAGAUCAAUAUAUAUGUAAACAGGAUAUCAGAUCCCAAAUGCAAUUAGAACAUCAGAUUGGAGAUUCUUUAUUCUACAAUUAAAACAGAAGACUUAAACGGAAAAACAGCACAUUUCCAAUUAAGUCAACUAAGUACAAGUUAGUUACUUACUACCAUGUUCCAUUUCUAAUAUAGUAGCUUUGUUGGCACGCUUUAGGGAGUAAAUAUUUACCCAGAGAAAUGUAAUUUCCUUUUCAUUUAUUUAGAAACUGCAUGAGCUGGUCUCUGCUUUCUAAUUUUCUCUUUACUAGUUAAGAUAGUAGAGAGAUUUCUCAUUUUCUUCAUUUUGAUAUUAGAAUUGCAUAGUUGAAUUUGUGUAUAUUUGAAGGAGAAAGAUAAUUCUUCCUAAUGUUAAUUAGAAAAUUUCCUUCUUACUUUCACUAUACGUUUUUAAUUAAAAAAUAAACCUUGAUAUAACAUUGAUGCUUAUUUCCAAAGUUAUUUUGAAUUAUUCUGAAUAACAUCUGCUGAUGAGAAGCACUCAAAAAACUUUCAUGCCGAUAAAUGUAAUUACUAAUAAUUUCAUCAUGAUUGCUAUGACUACAAUUUACUUAUUCUUAAUUUAUAUUUAUAAUGAACUGCUUCACUAAAAUGACAAAUGAUUCCAUUAGUUAAGAAACUAAAAUGUCAAUUUACAUGUGGUCUUUGGUGACUAAUUUGCUGAGUUGAGGUUUUUGUUUUCGUUAUGAUAAUAAUAUUUGGCUAUGCUCUGUGAGCAAAAUUUAUGAGGUCUUAAAUAUUAAUCUUUCAAUUUACUGAAACAAGGUAAUUUUCAGCUUUAAAAUGUUAGCAGUUUCCCUUUCAGUGUCCUGAAUACACAAGUUUUAGGCACAAACUUCUGCAACAAUGUCAUCCAAAAAAUAAUGCUCACUUUGUUCCCUAGGAUCAAAACAAUUCCUUUUCACUAAUGACUGCAAAUAUCAGCUCAUUUCUAACACAGUUUCCAGUGGCCAACAUUACUCAGUUGUCAGUAAAAGAAAAGGGAUUACAUCAGCAUUCAGGGGGAAAAAAUGUUCUGUUCCUUCUUAUUCCAUAGUCUAUGUUCAAUCAGCCUGGAGCUAAUGGAAGCCCUCCAGUGCUGAGAAAUAAACAAACACAGUUGGGCAAAUAGUCCAAAAUCAAAUCUAGUAUAUAAGGUGGACAAUACAUAGUUAGUUCCAUUACAGAACCCUCCCUUGGGAGCUGGAGCGGCUUCGGAGCCCUUCUCAUUACACACCAGCACCAUCUGUAGCCAGCCUGAGCCUGAUUUGGGAAUGUAUAAAGCUC
rnacentral:lncRNA from 1 species